rnacentral:rRNA from 1 species
CAGUCGAACGAAACUUCUUUAUCACCGAGUGCUUGCACUCACCGAUAAAGAGUUGAGUGGCGAACGGGUGAGUAACACGUGGGCAACCUGCCCAAAAGAGGGGGAUAACACUUGGAAACAGGUGCUAAUACCGCAUAACCAUAGUUACCGCAUGGUAACUAUGUAAAAGGUGGCUAUGCUACCGCUUUUGGAUGGGCCCGCGGCGCAUUAGCUAGUUGGUGGGGUAAAGGCUUACCAAGGCAAUGAUGCGUAGCCGAACUGAGAGGUUGAUCGGCCACAUUGGGACUGAGACACGGCCCAAACUCCUACGGGAGGCAGCAGUAGGGAAUCUUCCACAAUGGGCGAAAGCCUGAUGGAGCAACGCCGCGUGGGUGAAGAAGGUCUUCGGAUCGUAAAACCCUGUUGUUAGAGAAGAAAGUGCGUGAGAGUAACUGUUCACGUUUCGACGGUAUCUAACCAGAAAGCCACGGCUAACUACGUGCCAGCAGCCGCGGUAAUACGUAGGUGGCAAGCGUUAUCCGGAUUUAUUGGGCGUAAAGGGAACGCAGGCGGUCUUUUAAGUCUGAUGUGAAAGCCUUCGGCUUAACCGGAGUAGUGCAUUGGAAACUGGGAGACUUGAGUGCAGAAGAGGAGAGUGGAACUCCAUGUGUAGCGGUGAAAUGCGCAGAUAUAUGGAAGAACACCAGUGGCGAAAGCGGCUCUCUGGUCUGUAACUGACGCUGAGGUUCGAAAGCGUGGGUAGCAAACAGGAUUAGAUACCCUGGUAGUCCACGCCGUAAACGAUGAAUGCUA